CAAGUUAGUAGUAUUCGCAUUUCAAUAACAACUUUUAUAAAUAUUACUUCAGUAUUUUGCCAUUAUAUCUACUAAGAGCAGUGUUGUUCAUUGUGGCACAUAUAUUUGUCGUACAAGUCAUACUGGAUAGACCGGUUAGUGUUUUCACCGUUUGUAAAGGAAACCAUUUCCGAAUAAAAUACAGAUCUGCGAACAAUAUUUAUCUCCAUUCCAACUGUGGAUAGGUCUUAAAUUAAUUAUCGGAAUAUAUGAACCAAAUCAAGUAACGAUAAAAAAAUAACAUUUAUAACGUUUUAUCAUAUAUGAAUAUGUAUUUUGAUGAAAAAUUUUUCAUCAAAAUGCAUAUUCAUAUAUGAUAAAACGUUAUAAAUGUUAUUUCUUUAUCUUUACUUGAUCUGGUUCAUAUAUUACGAUAAAUAAUUUAGGACCUAUCCAUAAUUGGAAUGGAGAUGAAUACUUUUUGCAGAUCCGCAUAAGAAUAUUUAGAAAGUCUAAAAAGAUUUGAAAUGUUAGAAAUAUUAUAUUGUAGUCUUAAAAUUAUUUGCAAUUUAUUAUAUUGUUUAAAGUUUUGAUUACAUUUAGAUAGAUAGUUUUAAUAAGGUUCAACAUAGCUUAACUUGAAACAUGGUUUAAUUUACUCUCUAACUUUUUCUAACUCUUAGGACUAAAAAAAAAAAAUAGAAAGUGAGUUUUAAGUUAAUUUAUAUUGGUGUAAAUAAACUUUAGAUACAUAUAUUGUGCAAUAUAUGCGACUUUCGCAUACAUUAUAAUAAACUAUUUUAUUCGGAAAUUAUUUCCCUCCCAAAUGUUUCAAACACUAUCCAGUCAUGUAUGACUGCCUGUUGACGGUACUUCAUACAUUUUUCUACAUCAAAAAUUUGAAGAUUUUCUAAAUAUUCUCAUACGGAUCUGUAAAAAAUAUUCAUUUCUAUUCCAACUAUGGAUAGAUCCUAAAUUAAUCAUCGUAAUAUAUGAACCAAAUCAAGUAAAGAUAAAAGUAUAUAAAGAGUUGUUGGAAAUUUAUGGCCCGAAAACUUCAAAGGCUGCACCAGUUAAAGGAUUUACAACAUAUGAAUUAUUUGGAACGCGUUAUUAAGGAAACUUUAAGAAUUUUGUUCUGCUGUUCCUGUAAUUGCACGACAAGUGAUGGAAGACUUCAAAAUAGACCCACUUGUUACAGGCUUGAACUUAGGUAUGUAAGGUGCGAUCAUCACAGCAAGUGCGAAGGACGAGACAGUCGUUAACCAAGCGUCGAACAAGACAAUCGAUCGAACGAGUGUUAAAUCAAAAUAAAAUAAGAGCAGAUCCACUAACAAAUGUGACAACGAGUAAGCAUCUAGAAGAAUCUCCGAAAUCCUGUAAUCAUGAAAUAUCGAAAUACAUUCAAAUUGAUUAAA
rnacentral:lncRNA from 13 species